rnacentral:rRNA from 1 species
AUACGUAGGUGGCAAGCGUUGUCCGGAAUUACUGGGCGUAAAGCGUGCGCAGGCGGUUUUGUAAGUCAGGGGUGAAAUCCCCGGGCUCAACCAGGGAAAUGCCAUUGAGACUGCAAGGCUGGAGUGCGGGAGAGGGGGAUGGAAUUCGUCGUGUAGGAGUAAAAUGCGUAGAUAUGCGGAGGAAUACCAAUGGCGAAGGCAAUCCCUGGGGCCUGCCUUGACGCUCAUGCACGAAAGCGUGGGGAGCAAACAGGAUUAGAUCCCCUGGUAGUCCACGCCCUAAACGAUGUCAACUGGUUGUUGGGGAUUUAUUUUCUCAGUAACGAAGCUAACGCGUGAAGUUGACCGCCUGGGGAGUACGGCCGCAAGGUUAAAACUCAAAGGAAUUGACGGGG